CAGGAAGCUGCUGAUCACCAGCUUCAGGUGUUUCUAUUUAUUGGGAGACUGUCUUUCCCUGGCACCAGCUGCAACCAAUGAUUACUUUAGAGAGACAGUUUAACAACUGCCUGACCAUCACCUGAUGGUCAUCUGACAUUCCCAAUAAGAGCCCAGGCCAAAGGACACCUUGAUUUUGACCUUGUCAGACCUGGAGUUGAAAAACCAGCUGCACCCUUCUAGAAUUCUUACUUACAAAACUGGAGAUGUUACAAGACAAGAUGAUUUCACUGGAAGCUGAGUUUUGCCAGCUUUGGGGAAAUGCUGAUGCAGAACAUCAUUUAUUUAAGGCUGAUACUCAUGGAUAGAAGAGUCAAAGUGCGAAUAUAUGCACCCUUCUAUACGGAUUCUGCAGAAAGAUAUGCUUGGGUCAUGACUCAGACAAUUUGGAGAGAAUUCCCUGAAACAUUCACUGUACAACUCUACUUUCUUGAAUACUUACUAUAAUUAAAGUUCAUUUCUGAUUUACAUAAAGA
rnacentral:lncRNA from 1 species